CACGUAGGGCGCAAGCGUUGUCCGGAAUUAUUGGGCGUAAAGAGCUCGUAGGCGGUUUGUCGCGUCUGCUGUGAAAACUGGAGGCUCAACCUCCAGCCUGCAGUGGGUACGGGCAGACUAGAGUGCGGUAGGGGAGAUUGGAAUUCCUGGUGUAGCGGUGGAAUGCGCAGAUAUCAGGAGGAACACCGAUGGCGAAGGCAGAUCUCUGGGCCGUAACUGACGCUGAGGAGCGAAAGCGUGGGGAGCGAACAGG
rnacentral:rRNA from 1 species